UACGUAGGGGGCUAGCGUUGUCCGGAAUCAUUGGGCGUAAAGAGCGUGUAGGCGGCCCGGUAAGUCCGCUGUGAAAGUCGGGGGCUCAACCCUCGAAAGCCGGUGGAUACUGUCGGGCUAGAGUGCGGAAGAGGCGAGUGGAAUUCCUGGUGUAGCGGUGAAAUGCGCAGAUAUCGAGAGGAACACCUGCGGCGAAGGCGGGUUGCUGGGCUGACACUGACGCUGAUGCGCGAAAGCCAGGGAGCGAACGGG
rnacentral:rRNA from 1 species